GAUGAAGAACGCAGCGAAAUGCGAUACUUGGUGUGAAUUGCAGAAUCCCGUGAACCAUCGAGUCUUUGAACGCAAGUUGCGCCCGAAGCCAUCAGGUUGAGGGCACGUCUGCCUGGGCGUCACAUAUCGUUGCCCAAUGCCUAUUGCAGUGCAAUAGGAAUUUCUAGGGCGAAUGAUGGCUUCCCGUGAGCGUUGUUGCCUCGCUGUUGGUUGAAAAUCGAGUCCUUGGUAGGGUGUGCCAUGGUAGAUGGUGGUCGAGUUAGAACGAUACCGAUCAUGUGCAUGCUCCCCAAAAUAUGGCCUCUAUGACCCACACGCGUCUUUUGACGCUCAUGACGAGACCUCAGGUCAGGCGGGGCUACCCGCUGAAUUUAAGCAUAUCAAUAAGCGGAGGA
rnacentral:misc_RNA from 1 species